CAGGUAGGAAAAGAUGGUGAAAGGUCAAUGCUCACCUCCCAGUCCACCUUCUCAACCUUUAUCAUCUCCGCCCCUCCCCCAUUUCCGUCCCUUGCAAACCUCCAUUUCCGAUUCAGAUUCAACACACACAAUCCUUCCUUCGGAGAUGGAAGAUAAAGAGAGAGCGAGCAGAGUUGACGAGUAAUAUGAGAGCCUAUUGCCUUUCCAGGAAAGCGCUGUAGCAUUAAGAAGAGCCUGUAAGAUGACGGUUGGAAGAGAGCGAGGUCAGGAUGUUACAUAAGGUGUAAGUUUAAGACAAAGAAGGAAAUAAUGAGGAAGUAAUAUGAUGGUUAAAAGCUUCAGUGCUAUGGGAUAACUUGCGAUAUUUAAAACCAGCGUGUUUUUCUCUUUGAGAAAGUAUUGGAUCUCCCAACAAAGACAGUCAUCCUACAAUGUAAGCCAAUUGACACUCCAAUUACUCAAAAUCAUCACCUCUAUGAAAUGUUGAGCCCUUCUGCCAACAGGAUGAUAACCACACUUGAGAGGAACUUAUUUAUUUUUCACACAAUUGGAGGCGACUAAUAAAUUAUAAAGGAAGCACAUUUGGAGAGCAUGUCAUAAAAUUUUAAGGUACUUAAAACAACAUCACUUGACUGGUUAGCGGUGUGUAAUCCCUAAGGAUUGGUCUAACCUAGAGUGUUCGCUUGUUUUACUGUGCACUUUCUUGUGUUCGUAUUCUUGUAAUUUAGUUUUCUUUGGUGGGAGGAUUUCUCAUCCUUCUCUUGUACUUCUUUUUCUAUCAAUAUAUCUCUUUGUUGUUUCCUAUCAAAAAAAAAAAGGUACCUUGUUUAUCAGGUACAGUCAUCUGACUGCAGUGUCAUACAUGGAUGUAGAUUGGGUGAAGAUCAUUACUGAUUGGAGACCCACUUUUGGUUGUUAUUGCACAAUUAUUUGUGGAGAA